AUACGUAGGUGGCAAGCGUUAUCCGGAUUUACUGGGUGUAAAGGGCGUGUAGGCGGUAUACUAAGUCAGAUGUGAAAUCUCCCGGCUCAACCGGGAGCGUGCAUCUGAAACUGGUACACUUGAGUGCUGGAGGGGAAAGCGGAAUUCCUAGUGUAGCGGUAAAAUGCGUAGAUAUUAGGAGGAACACCGGUGGCGAAGGCGGCUUUCUGGAAAGUAACUGAAGCUGAGGCGCGAAAGCGUGGGGAGCAAACAGGAUUAGAUACCCUGGGAGUCCACGCCAUAAACGAUGAAUUCUAAGUGUAGGGGGUAUCGACCCCCUCUGUGCCGGCGUUAACACAUUAAGUAUUCCCCCUGGGGAGUACGGCCGCAAGGCUGAAACUCAAAGGAAUUGACGGGG
rnacentral:rRNA from 1 species